UGCUUUAGUACUGCCAGCCUCGUCGCUUCGUACGGAACUUGGACGCCCGGAAUAGUUUUGUUACACUGUAAAAGUUUUUCGCCGCGCGCCGAAAUCGGACGGCUGGUGUCCGCGUAGUGGUUAGACCCGCAAAUCGUGGUGUGCGUCGCGCUCUUUCGCAGCCACUUACACAGCGAGACCGAGCGAGAUCCGGCCGCAAGCAACAUUUUCGGAUUCCUUCAUAGAAGUGGACACGGAGAACGUCAGAAUGGACGAGGUGGAUACCCUGGUAAAGAACGAUGACGACGGCGUCGUCAACAACGACGACGAUGAUGCGCCCACCGUCGAGGAGACGUAUGAGAUUACCACCACCAGGCGCAAGACCAUCCGCACCAGCUAUAAAAUUCAAGAAACUUCCUCGUCAACCAAGACAACCACCAUGACGACGGCGGCCAAGCUGUACGGCAAGGAUUUGAGCGAGUACGAUGACAUUGACGUGGAUAAAUUGUUGGCAGAACUCACGCCAGAGGAACUCAAUAUACUGGCCAAAGAAGUGGACCCUGACGAUAGCUUUAUGCCACCCUCGCAACGUUGCAGUUAUGAAUGCAACAAGAGUCCCACAGGGCCGCUGAAUCGCAAGAAACUCAUCGAACACAUCAAUAAGCAAGCUCUGGAGACACCUGAUAUUCCAGAAUUAAAACCAUAUGUACCUGGUGUAAUCAGAGGCAAGAAAUGGGUACCUCCGCCGCAAGAGUCUGUGAAGGAGAAGGAGGCAGAGGAACAGAUCGCGAUAGAUCUUGGAGAAGAAUAUGAACAAGCGCUCUCGGCCGCCACCCAAGAAGAAAUCAUUGAUCUUGCUGCUAUUCUUGGAUUCCAUUCCAUGAUGAAUCAAGAUCAGUAUCACGCGUCUUUAUUGAAUUCUGGACAGCCAGUCGGUCUCGGAUGGGAUGGAGUGACGAAAGCUAGUCAACCGAAAGUUUAUCCGAUGGACCCGCCAAACGAUACAGACGUUGACGCCACCAUCAAGCAAGUGCGAGACGAUGAAUCAUCUCUGACUGACUUGAAUUGGAACAAUAUUAAAAAUAUUUCGGACGAAAAGUUCAUACAACUGUUUGAAGGUUUGGAAGUGAACACACAUCUUGAAUCGCUAAGUCUAACCAACGUUGGACUCAACGACAAGACCGCACAACGGCUGGCCGAUGCUUUAGAGAAGAAUUCGACGCUAAGAGUGCUCAACGUGGAGACGAACUUUAUAAGCCCACCUGUGAUAGUAAGGUUGAUCAGGUCCCUUCUUAAAGCAAAGUCCAUCGAAGAAUUUCGAUGUUCGAACCAGAGGUCACAAGUAUUGGGUAACAAGAUCGAGAUGGAAAUCACGCAGCUGGUAGAACAAAAUCCGACGUUGCUACGACUCGGGCUACACUUGGAAUUCAACGAUGCUAGACAUCGCGUGGCUGCACAUCUGCAACGCAACAUUGACAGGAUACGGAAAGAUCUAACGCUGCGGCUACAGUUCCGAUUCUUUAACAUGAACCACAGGAAACCUGCCUUGAUUCAAUGAAAGUACGGCAGUCCCGGCUCGGGGUGGCGACAUCUUAACGCGAAGUGGCGUUCGCCUAGAUCGCCUACGCCGCAUGGGAAGAGCUUCCCGCAACUACACCAUCGGCUGGGC
rnacentral:misc_RNA from 1 species